rnacentral:rRNA from 1 species
CACGUAAGCAACCUACCCUAAAGACGAGGAUAACCAUUGGAAACAGUGGCUAAGACUGGAUAGGAAGAAAUAAGGCAUCUUAUUUCUUUUAAAAGACCUAGUAAUAGGUAUACUUUAGGAGGGGCUUGCGCCAUAUUAGUUAGUUGGUAGGGUAAUGGCCUACCAAGACGAUGAUGUGUAGCUGGACUGAGAGGUUGAACAGCCACAUUGGGACUGAGACACGGCCCAAACUCCUACGGGAGGCAGCAGUAGGGAAUUUUCGGCAAUGGAGGAAACUCUGACCGAGCAACGCCGCGUGAACGACGAAGUACUUUGGUAUGUAAAGUUCUUUUAUCAAGGAAGAAAAGCAAGUGGUGAACCAUUUGUUUGCCGGUACUUGAUGAAUAAGCCCCGGCUAAUUAUGUGCCAGCAGCCGCGGUAAGACAUAAGGGGCAAGUGUUAUCCGGAAUUAUUGGGCGUAAAGGGUGCGUAGGCGGUCUAGUAAGUCAGUGGUGUAAUGGCAACGCUCAACGUUGUCCGGCUAUUGAAACUGCUAAACUUGAGUUAGAUAGAGGCGAGUGGAAUUCCAUGUGUAGCGGUAAAAUGCGUAAAUAUAUGGAGGAACACCAGAGGCGUAGGCGGCUCGCUGGGUCUUAACUGACGCUGAGGCACGAAAGCGUGGGGAGCAAACAGGAUUAGAUACCCUGGUAGUCCACGCCGUAAACGAUGAGUACUAAGUGUCGGGUUAAACCGGUACUGAAGUUAACACAUUAAGUACUCCGCCUGAGUAGUACGUACGCAAGUAUGAAACUUAAAGGAAUUGACGGGACUCCGCACAAGCGGUGGAUCAUGUUGUUUAAUUCGAAGAUACCCGAAAAACCUUACCAGGUCUUGACAUGUUUUUGCGAAACGGUAGUAAUAUCGUGGAGGUUAUCAGAAACACAGGUGGUGCAUGGUUGUCGUCAGCUCGUGUCGUGAGAUGUUAGGUUAAGUCCUAAAACGAGCGAAACCCUUAUCGUUAGUUGCCAGCACGUUAUGGUGGGGACUUUAACGAGACUGCCAGUGAUAAACUGGAGGAAGGUGAGGAUCACGUCAAAUCAGCAUGCCCCUUAUGACCUGGGCUACAAACGUGAUACAAUGGCUGUUACAAAGGGUAGCUGAAACGCAAGUUCUUGGCCAAUCCCCAAAAACAGUCUCAGUCCGGAUUGAAGUCUGCAACUCGACUUCAUGAAGUUGGAAUCGCUAGUAAUCGCGAAUCAGCAUGUCGCGGUGAAUACGUUCUCGGGGUUUGUACACACCGCCCGUCAAACCACGAAAGUUGGCAAUACCCCAAAACGGUAGCCUAA